GUAGAUCUGCUUUCUUGAUCUGGGACUCCUUUCUAUUUAUGUGCCCUUCUUUUAAUAGGAUAAGACUUGUCUGUGGGAUACAAGGCUAUUUAGGACGAGUGCUCGAGCUACUUAUGGUACUGAUUUGGGAAAGCCAGCUAUCUUGUGCCUGGGGACCCUGAGAACCGUGAGAAGGUACAGUAUUCCCUGAUGGAGGAAGCAUUUCCUUAUUCUGAUGGGUAAUUGA